rnacentral:rRNA from 1 species
AUACCUUCGGGUAUGAGUGGCAAACGGGUGAGUAACACGUGGGAACUCGCCCUCCGGUGGGGAAUAACUCUGCGAAAGCAGAGCUAAUACCGCAUAUGGUCGCAAGACUAAAGCCUUGUGCGCCGGGGGAGAGGCCCGCGUCCGAUUAUUUGGUUGGUGGGGUAACGGCCUACCAAGACGGUGAUCGGUAGCUGGUCUGAGAGGAUGGUCACCCACACUGGGACUGCGAACGGCCCAGACUCCUACGGGAGGCAGCAGUUAGGAAUUUUCGGCAAUGGGCGCAAGCCUGACCGAGUGACGCCGCGUGCGGGAUGAAGCCUUUCGGGGUGUAAACCGCUUUUAUGAGGGAAGAUAAUGAC